UGCUGUGAUAGCUCAGAUGGUAGAGCAUGAGACUCUUAAUCUCAGGGUCCUGGGUUCAAACCCCAUGUUUGGCAA